AUAACGCGGGACAAUAGCCGCAUACGCGCUUAAUUAAGUGUCAAGAACGCAUGUUUUAAUAUUUUAGCAAGUAAAGAAGCCGGUUUUUGUUUCAACUUUUGCAAGACAGGGAACCGAACAAACUCGAAAUGAGAUGAAUUAAGUUUGCAUAGAAGCAGAGUCUCUAGUCAGCAGAGCGACCGUUACAUUUAAAUUUGUGAUAAUGUCUACGAGGCUUCAACUACUUCAAGCUCACCCCUUCUGUUUAAUGACCGGCAUAAACCUGAUUUCGUGUACAAUUACAACGUUACGGGCGGCAUUUUUCCACUUGUUUAAUUUUUUUAGUGAUUUUGAAUUCAGCUGAAUAAAACACAAGUAGAAAAA